UUUUUAUUUUUUUGUUAUUUUAUUUGUUAAUUUGUAUUUCGAAAAUUUUUUGAAAAAAUGAUGUAAACCAUAACCAAACAUCCACAAGACUUUAACACUAACACCACCAAACCAAUCCCAACAAUAAUAAUCACUCCUUUCUCCUUUCAACACCAAUACCAAAUAGAAAAACAAUAAUAAUAAUAAUACUCCUCUUUCCUUUCC
rnacentral:ribozyme from 13 species